rnacentral:misc_RNA from 1 species
GAUGAAGAACGCAGCGAAAUGCGAUUAGUAAUGUGAAUUGCAGAAUUCAGUGAAUCAUCGAAUCUUUGAACGCACAUUGCGCCCGCCAGUAUUCUGGCGGGCAUGCCUGUUCGAGCGUCAUUACAACCCUCAGGCCCCCGGGCCUGGCGUUGGGGAUCGGCGGAAGCCCCCUGCGGGCACAACGCCGUCCCCCAAAUACAGUGGCGGUCCCGCCGCAGCUUCCAUUGCGUAGUAGCUAACACCUCGCAACUGGAGAGCGGCGCGGCCACGCCGUAAAACACCCAACUUCUGAAUGUUGACCUCGAAUCAGGUAGGAAUACCCGCUGAACUUAAGCAUAUCAAUAAGCGGAGGA